rnacentral:rRNA from 1 species
AAUGAACGUUGGCGGCGUGCUUAACACAUGCAAGUCGAGCGAGAGAGUUCCUUCGGGAAUGAGUAAAGCGGCGGACGGGUGUAGAACACGUGAGAAUCUACCCUCUAGUGAGGAAUACCUCCGAGAAAUCGGGGCUAAUACUGCAUAUUCCCUUCGGGGUAAAGGUGGCUUUAUGCUGCCGCUAGAGGAUGAGCUUGCGCGCUAUUAGCUUGUUGGUGGGGUAAAGGCCUACCAAGGCGAUGAUGGCUAGCCGGCCUGAGAGGGUGUACGGCCACAUUGGGACUGAGAUACGGCCCAAACUCCUACGGGAGGCUG